rnacentral:rRNA from 2 species
CCCGAUGAACUGCGAGUGAAGCGGGAACAGCUAACAUUUGAAAUCCGGCCUCGGCCCGAGUUGUAAUUUGCAGAGGAAGCUUUGGGCGCGGCACCGACCGAGUCCCCUGGAACGGGGCGCCAUAGAGGGUGAGAGCCCCGUAUGGUCGGACGCCUAGCCUGUGUAAAGCUCCUUCGACGAGUCGAGUAGUUUGGGAAUGCUGCUCAAAAUGGGAGGUAAAUUUCUUCUAAAGCUAAAUACCGGCCAGAGACCGAUAGCGCACAAGUAGAGUGAUCGAAAGAUGAAAAGCACUUUGAAAAGAGGGUUAAAUAGCACGUGAAAUUGUUGAAAGGGAAGCGCUUGUGACCAGACUUGCGCCCGGCUGAUCAUCCGGUGUUCUCACCGGUGCACUCUGCCGGGCUCAGGCCAGCAUCGGUUCUCGCGGGGGGACAAAGGCCCUGGGAACGUAGCUCCUCCGGGAGUGUUAUAGCCCUGGGUGCAAUGCCCUCGCGGGGACCGAGGUUCGCGCAUCUGCAAGGAUGCUGGCGUAAUGGUCACCAGCGACCCGUCUUGAAACACGGACCAAGGAGUCAAGGUUUUGCGCGAGUGUUUGGGUGUAAAACCCGCACGCGUAAUGAAAGUGAACGUAGGUGAGAGCUUCGGCGCAUCAUCGACCGAUCCUGAUGUUUUCGGAUGGAUUUGAGUAGGAGCGUUAAGCCUUGGACCCGAAAGAUGGUGAACUAUGCUUGGAUAGGGUGAAGCCAGAGGAAACUCUGGUGGAGGCUCGCAGCGGUUCUGACGUGCAAAUCGAUCGUCAAAUCUGAGCAUGGGGGCGAAAGACUAAUCGAACCAUCUAGUAGCUGGU